rnacentral:rRNA from 1 species
UACAGGGGGGGCAAGCGUUGCUCGGAAUUACUGGGCGUAAAGGGCUCGUAGGCGGCCAACUAAGUCACACGUGAAAUCCCCAGGCUUAACCUGGGAACUGCGUGUGAUACUGGAUGGCUUGAAUUCGGGAGAGGGAUGCAGAAUUCCAGGUGUAGCGGUGAAAUGCGUAGAUAUCUGGAGGAAUACCGGUGGCGAAGGCGGCAUCCUGGACCGACAUUGACGCUGAGGAGCGAAAGCUAGGGGAGCAAACGGG